AGUAUAGUUGCUGGGUUGCAUGGUAAGUGCGAGUUUAGUUUUUUAAGAAGCCAUCAAACUCUUUUCCAGAGUGACUGCACCAUUUCACAUUCCUAUCAGCAAU
rnacentral:pre_miRNA from 1 species